rnacentral:lncRNA from 1 species
CUUGAGAGAAAAGGAAAAAUUGUUCUUGAAAAACAAAGUGGCUGUAAACUUAGAAUGUCAAAGAGUUUUUAUUUUAUUAAUAUGGUCCAACCUAUCAUAUGUUGCCACAUAUUUUCUACUUAAGUGAUAUUUUUACGAGUCUUUAUAUAUAUAUAUAUAUAUUUAUUUAUUUAUUUAUUUAUUUAUUUAUUUUUUACUCUAUCUCAUCCACGUAUAAUAUAUCAUAUAUUCUAUCCUUACAAUUUUCAAAGUUAGACAUGAUAAAUUUGAAUAACUUC